rnacentral:lncRNA from 1 species
ACCGGAGAUCCUUAGCUUCCAUUUGAAGUGUACAUGAGCACCGAGCAUAGGGAGUAGAGGAUACUUUGAUCUGAGAUCUCCAGGAUGGUGGUAUAGAGUCUGCUUUCUCUCAUCAUCAAGGAUAUCAACUAUAUUGUAGGAUCUCACAAGAAGAUGGGCAGUAGGCAGUACACUAAGGUUAUUGACUCCAAAGAUUUCAGAAAGUUUAUCAAUGACUUGGGCCUGAUUGACCUUUACACUAAAUCCAAAUUCAUCUGGUGCAACAACUAGCAAGGGGCAGCCA